AUGAAGAAGGAGUUUGGGGGCAUGGGGAUGCCAAAUCUCCAGGAUAUGAACCUUUGCCUCAUUGGGUCUUGGGUUAAAAGGUACAUAGCUGGAGAGGAGUCCAUGUGGAGGAAGAUUGUUGAUAACAAAUAUAAUACUAAAAGCCCAAAUAUCCUUUGCUGUCAUGAUCCAGAUACUUCCCAGUUUUGGAAAAGCUUUAUGUGGACUUUGCAAGCUGUGAAGGUGGGAUUUAAAUGGCAGAUAGGUGAUGGCAGUCUAGUUAGAUUUUGGGAAGAUACCUGGUAUGUGAAUGCUCCUUUAGCCACCCAAUAUUGGGAUCUGUAUGUUCUAGUGAACGAGAAGAACAAAACCAUUGCAGAAAUCUGGGAUGGCCAGGAGCUCAAAUGCACCUUUAGAAGGACCUUCUCAGAUGAACUGAUGUCACAAUGGUUUGAGUUAGUGGAUAUUCUCUCUAUGACUAAGUUUAGCCAGGAGAAAGACUCCUUGAUCUAGAAGUAUGAGUCUAAUGGGAUUUACUCUUCUAAAUCUCUUUAUGCUAUUGUUAACUUUAGAGGUGUUCAACCAAUUUAUUUGCCUGUUGUCUGGAGUGUGAAAAUACCACCUAGGGUGCAAGGCUUUCUUUGGCUUCUCUCUCAAAACAAGAUUAUGACUUGUGAUAAUCUUAGGAGAAGAGGCAUUGCAAAGCCCCUCGAAUGUGUCCUCUGUAAAGGAGAUUGA
rnacentral:rRNA from 1 species